UUUAUGGAGAGUUUGAUCCUGGCUCAGGAUGAACGCUGGCGGCGUGCCUAAUACAUGCAAGUCGAGCGAACGGACGAGAAGCUUGCUUCUCUGAUGUUAGCGGCGGACGGGUGAGUAACACGUGGAUAACCUACCUAUAAGACUGGGAUAACUUCGGGAAACCGGAGCUAAUACCGGAUAAUAUUUUGAACCGCAUGGUUCAAAAGUAAAAGACGGUCUUGCUGUCACUUAUAGAUGGAUCCGCGCUGCAUUAGCUAGUUGGUAAGGUAACGGCUUACCAAGGCAACGAUGCAUAGCCGACCUGAGAGGGUGAUCGGCCACACUGGAACUGAGACACGGUCCAGACUCCUACGGGAGGCAGCAGUAGGGAAUCUUCCGCAAUGGGCGAAAGCCUGACGGAGCAACGCCGCGUGAGUGAUGAAGGUCUUCGGAUCGUAAAACUCUGUUAUUAGGGAAGAACAUAUGUGUAAGUAACUGUGCACAUCUUGACGGUACCUAAUCAGAAAGCCACGGCUAACUACGUGCCAGCAGCCGCGGUAAUACGUAGGUGGCAAGCGUUAUCCGGAAUUAUUGGGCGUAAAGCGCGCGUAGGCGGGUUUUUUAAGUCUGAUGUGAAAGCCCACGGCUCAACCGUGGAGGGUCAUUGGAAACUGGAAAACUUGAGUGCAGAAGAGGAAAGUGGAAUUCCAUGUGUAGCGGUGAAAUGCGCAGAGAUAUGGAGGAACACCAGUGGCGAAGGCGACUUUCUGGUCUGUAACUGACGCUGAUGUGCGAAAGCGUGGGGAUCAAACAGGAUUAGAUACCCUGGUAGUCCACGCCGUAAACGAUGAGUGCUAAGUGUUAGGGGGUUUCCGCCCCUUAGUGCUGCAGCUAACGCAUUAAGCACUCCGCCUGGGGAGUACGACCGCAAGGUUGAAACUCAAAGGAAUUGACGGGGACCCGCACAAGCGGUGGAGCAUGUGGUUUAAUUCGAAGCAACGCGAAGAACCUUACCAAAUCUUGACAUCCUUUGACAACUCUAGAGAUAGAGCCUUCCCCUUCGGGGGACAAAGUGACAGGUGGUGCAUGGUUGUCGUCAGCUCGUGUCGUGAGAUGUUGGGUUAAGUCCCGCAACGAGCGCAACCCUUAAGCUUAGUUGCCAUCAUUAAGUUGGGCACUCUAAGUUGACUGCCGGUGACAAACCGGAGGAAGGUGGGGAUGACGUCAAAUCAUCAUGCCCCUUAUGAUUUGGGCUACACACGUGCUACAAUGGACAAUACAAAGGGCAGCGAAACCGCGAGGUCAAGCAAAUCCCAUAAAGUUGUUCUCAGUUCGGAUUGUAGUCUGCAACUCGACUACAUGAAGCUGGAAUCGCUAGUAAUCGUAGAUCAGCAUGCUACGGUGAAUACGUUCCCGGGUCUUGUACACACCGCCCGUCACACCACGAGAGUUUGUAACACCCGAAGCCGGUGGAGUAACCUUUUAGGAGCUAGCCGUCGAAGGUGGGACAAAUGAUUGGGGGUGAAGUCGUAACAAGGUAGCCGUAUCGGAAGGUGCGGCUGGAUCACCUCCUUUCU
rnacentral:rRNA from 1 species